GAUCGACGGGCUUUACACUUCAUUGUGACAAUCUGUUCAGUCUCUGCGAGAAUAUCAAGCUAUACGCACAGAAAGAUCAGCCCAAGAAAUUCAUAAUGGGUCGUUGCAAAACUAUCAUCACUUGCUUCGUAAUCAUUGCGAUUGGCAUAUCGGUACUGAACUACUAUGGUUUCUAUCCCUUUGACGGGACUUUGGACUUUGGAUCGAUGAUAGCAAAAUCCAUAAAAGCUGGCUUAAUAAAGCUAGAUAUAGAUAUCUGCAACAACUGAAACUCAACUGAAAACGAUGUCUACCAAAACCAGUGUACCGACCAAUAACUAUUGCUCCAAAUAUAAACUAUACUCAUGAAAUAAAAAAUGGUAAAUGUUCCCCACUGCCCAAGCAGUACUCUGCCAUGCAUUGAUUGUAACUAAAGUCGGACCAUAACUAAAUACCUGUACUUUUUUUUCGCGUAAUGCCGUACAAUUGAAACUGAACGACCAAAUAUGAAUCAGCACAAAUAACUGGA